rnacentral:rRNA from 1 species
AUACCGCAUAAUAUCUGCGGAUUAAAGGUGGCCUUUGCGCUCCCGCAGAUGGAUGAGCCUGCGUUGGAUUAGCUAGUUGGUGGGGUAAGGGCCUACCAAGGCUACGAUCCAUAGCUGAUUUGAGAGGAUGAUCAGCCACAUUGGGACUGAGACACGGCCCAAACUCCUACGGGAGGCAGCAGUGGGGAAUAUUGGACAAUGGGGGAAACCCUGAUCCAGCAAUGCCAUGUGUGUGAAGAAGGCUCUAGGGUUGUAAAGCACUUUAGUUGGGGAGGAAAGCCUGUGAGUUAAUAGCUUGCAGGAAGGACGUUGCCCAAAGAAUAAGGACCGGCUAACUCCGUGCCAGCAGCCGCGGUAAUACGGGGGGUCCGAGCGUUAAUCGGAAUUACUGGGCGUAAAGGGUCUGUAGGUGGUUUGUUAAGUCAGAUGUGAAAGCCCAGGGCUCAACCUUGGAACUGCAUUUGAUACUGACAAACUAGAGUAUGGUAGAGGAAUAGGGAACUUCUGGUGUAGCGGUGAAAUGCGUAGAGAUCAGAAGGAACACCAAUGGCGAAGGCAACAUUCUGGACCAAUACUGACACUGAGGGACGAAAGCGUGGGGAUCAAACAGGAUUAGAUACCCUGGUAGUCCACGCUGUAAACGAUGAGUACUAGCUGUUGGAUUCGGUGUAAAGGAUCUAGUGGCGCAGCUAACGCGUUAAGUACUCCGCCUGGGGACUACGGCCGCAAGGCUAAAACUCAAAGGAAUUGACGGGGACCCGCACAAGCGGUGGAGCAUGUGGUUUAAUUCGAUGCAACGCGAAGAACCUUACCUGGUCUUGACAUCCUGCGAACUUUCUAGAGAUAGAUUGGUGCCUUCGGGAACGCAGUGACAGGUGCUGCACGGCUGUCGUCAGCUCGUGUUGUGAAAUGUUGGGUUAAGUCCCGCAACGAGCGCAACCCCUAUUGAUAGUUACCAUCAUUAAGUUGGGUACUCUAUUGAGACUGCCGCUGACAAGGCGGAGGAAGGUGGGGACGACGUCAAGUCAUCAUGGCCCUUACGACCAGGGCUACACACGUGCUACAAUGGGUAUUACAGA